UCCCUUGUGGCUCAGCUGGUAAAGAAUCUGCCUGCAAUGCAGAAGACCUGGGUUCGAUCCCUGGGUUGGGAA
rnacentral:tRNA from 1 species